CCUGCAGUGCCCUCGGAGGCCAGAAGAGGGCAUAGGAUCUCUUGGGACUAGAGUUUCUUCUACCAUUUGGGUGCUUGAAAUUGAGCCGGGAUCCUCUGAAAGAGCAGUCAGUGCUCUUAAUUGCUGAGCCAUCUCUCCAGCUCCGGGAACUAGAGCUGCUUGCGGUAAUGUUGAGAAGAGUUCCUUGAGAGCAGAAGCACUGCCUGACACUGGCUGGUGCUGACAAGCAAGUGCCCACACAUGUGGUUGAGUUUAUUAUGCGUGGGCAGAGGGUGUGAGAUCGGAGAGUUUGAGUCUCAAGGAAAGCUGGUGCUCUGCUUGUCUGGUCUCCGGGAUGCAAAUUUGAGGCGACCACCGUUUGCAUACAGAGCAGGAAACCAAGCCUGAUCCUGGCUGAGGGCGGGCAAAGGCCAGGGACAGGGUAUAAAUCUUGCCAAAGGCUCUCCCGGUCCAUGCAGCUCCAGACCAGAGCUGAUUCCAGGAUAGGCUUCUUUUCAGGUGGGAGUUUCCUGGAAUGGGGUAGGCAGAUGCGAAAGGGGGCGGUUUCACAUUUAUUUCGGGACCCCCUUACCACACACACACACACACACACACACACACACGCGCGCGUGCGCGCGGAGCAAAAGGAAGCUCGGGGCUAAAUUCUUGGUGAUGAUAAGGAAGGGAUGGCCUGAGGAGGUUGAGUUAGAGGAUAGGGACCAGUAUUUGGGAGGUGUACACCACCCCUUCUCCACUGUGUGUGGACGAUGUCUGAAGCUCCACGCUUUCAGAGGAAGGUGGACGGUAUCAGCUCCCUGGGAGCGCCAAGCUUCGGAGCCCAGUGUUGGUCCACAAGGGCAGGGAGGCCCCUAGCGGCAAGCAACAGCUUGGCCCCGCACUUCCUGCCCCGCCCAGGCGGGGUUCACGGAAGACGAAUUUGGCCGAAGGGGCGUGGCUAACGCUGGCCAGAGGCCGCGAGGCGUGGCCAGGGCAAAUGCGGGCAGGAGGCCUCUUGGCGCCCGCCCCACCCAGUCUCCUCCUUGCUGGCCCCAUUGCCCGGAAGGCUGUCGGCCGAGGGCCGCCUUAAUCUGCCCAGCCUUCCGUCUCCCGCCCCGCCCCGCCCCGCAUUCCAGAGGCCGUGACUGGCAGCUUUGAAGACUGUCAGAUGGGGACCCCAGCCAGAGGUGAGGACCCUCCAUACAUAGGCCGAGUGGGAUAUGUGAGCAGAUACAGGUAAUAGGACAUUACCAGUCCCCACUACCGCCACACACAGGGCUGGGGAGGUCCCUCCACAUAUGCCCUGGUCCCGUGUCUCAGCCACUGGGUCCCGUGUACUCACGGCAUUGUCUGGAUGGAAGACAUAGGAGGCGGGUGAGUUGUCUAGAAUGAGCACUCGCCGCAGGUCUCGGCCCAGCCUGCUCAGGUCCUUUACGUAGUUCCCCCGGUGGAAGACACACGACUCUCGAAACAGCCUGGCACGGAAGGCUCCCCACUUGUCCAGCAGAUCAGCUACAGGGUCUGCGUACUAGGGUAGGCGGUUAAGUCACCUCAGAAUGAGUAAUGUCCAGGGCUGCAUGUUCAACGUGGGAGGGAGGAUAUGGGUGACCCAGACCCCAGGCAAUGGCUCACCUUGGCAAGGCUGGCAGUGAACAGCACACAUUCAAAGAGCUCGCCCAUUCGCUGUAGGAACUCAUCUACGUGGGGCCGCUUCAGCACAUAGACCUGGGGAACGAGCCAGUGAGGGAGCUGCUGGCCAACAGGCUUAGGGGUGAUCCACAAAAGGGGGACAGGAACAGUGGAGGAGGAAGGGCAGUCUAGAGAGGCUGCCCCAACCAUACCCCAUUCCUAAAGAGAUAAGAAUAGGAUUCCCGUGGUCCCACCUCACCUAGUGGGAGCCACUCCCCUUCCCACACUGGUUUUAUCCAAAUGCAGGAGUCCAGGUUAGCCCUCUCACCCCAAGGCUGCAGGGCACCGGCCCCCGAGCCAAGUAAUGGAGAACAGGCUGGUCAGCACCACAACCUAUCCUGAAUUACUUGAACUGGGUCCCGGGCAGUAGGGGUAAGAGGGGAAAGAGGGCUGCACAAGACAGGACCAGAAGGAGCCCAGUGUGCAGGUCUGGGAGUCUGGCUCCAUCUCUGGAGUACCAGGUAGUCUUGGGUUCUCACUCUUUCUGAGCUUUGGACACGCCCCAUCUAUUAAAGUUCCAUGGGGGACUCGCUCAAGAAGGGUGGGAGGAACCUGGGUGUAGUGCAGACACCAAGCUCCCCACCUCCCUCUGACCCUCACCUGGUGGACCACUCCAUCUAUCUCCACCGGGAUGAUGAAGUCCGCAUUGUUCACUGGCUGUAAGGAAAGAAUAAUGGCUGGAGCUGGCGGGGAGGGAAUCCCAAGGGUGGAAAUCCAGCAGAGACCUCCCCCUGUCAAGAGACUAGAGGCUGAGAGGUGCCAGGCAGGGCCCACCUUGAAGGAGCUGUGCACCAGGGUCUCGUCCAGGUCGAUGACGACGCAGAUCUUGUCUGAGUCCUGGGCCUUGGCCUCGGGAAGCAGGUACUGGACUGGGGUGUGCUGUGGGGAGGGCUGGGCUGGAAGGGCACCUCUUACAGGGGCUUCCCUCCCCAAAUUUCUCUAUCUGAGGACCCGACCAGACCUUCUACCCCCUCCCCAGCUUGGAGUCUUGCAAACUGUGAGCCAGGGGAUCUGCACGUGUAUCAGUGAAGUUCGGGCCUAUACCCCUAUCUGUAUCUGCCAAGUCUACUUCCGGCUAGGUCUCGGUGCAUCCAAAUUGCCACAAACC